rnacentral:rRNA from 1 species
UACGAAGGGGGCUAGCGUUGCUCGGAAUUACUGGGCGUAAAGGGCGCGUAGGCGGCACUGUUAGUCAGGCGUGAAAGUCCUGGGCUCAACCUGGGAACUGCGCUUGAUACGGCAGAGCUAGAGGAUGGAAGAGGCUCGCGGAAUUCCCAGUGUAGAGGUGAAAUUCGUAGAUAUUGGGAAGAACACCAGUGGCGAAGGCGACUUACUGGACACAUAUUGACGCUGAGGUGCGAAAGCGUGGGGAGCAAACAGG